rnacentral:tRNA from 1 species
GGAGGCGUUCCCAGGCUGGUGCCUGGCGCGGUCUUCAACACCGUUGUGGCCCGGGACCCGGGUCAGGCGGGUUCGAUUCCCGUCCGCCUCCGCCA